rnacentral:rRNA from 1 species
AACGCGAAGAACCUUACCUGGGCUUGAACCGCUACUGACCAACGGUAGAAAUAUCGUCUUCCCGCAAGGGACAGUAGUAGAGGUGCUGCAUGGCUGUCGUCAGCUCGUGCCGUGAGGUGUUGGGUUAAGUCCCGCAACGAGCGCAACCCUUACUCGUAGUUGCUACCCGCAAGGGAGAACUCUACGAGGACUGCUCCGGAUAACGGAGAGGAAGGUGGGGAUGACGUCAAGUCAUCAUGGCUUUUACAAUUAGGGCUACACACGUGCUACAAUGGUUGGUAUAAAAGGAAGCAAAUCCGCAAGGUGGAGCAAAUCCCUAAAACCAAUCUUAGUCCGGAUUGUGGUCUGCAACUCGACCACAUGAAGUCGGAAUCGCUAGUAAUCGCGAAUCAGAAGGUCGCGGUGAAUACGUUCCCGGGCCUUGUACACACCGAUAGC